UAAUAAUUAUGAAAGCAAAAAAUUAUGGCGGUAUUUUAAGCUUUUCAGAGGAAUUUGCUCUUUAAUGGAUAAAACACCAAAAUCUUACUUAGAUUUGUGAUUUCAAUUUGUAUACCACUAUUAAAACAAUUUAUAACUUUAAUUGUUUAAAUUUACAAAACUAAAAUAUAUUAAGUCAAGGUGCAGUAAAAAUUUAAGGAUGAAGUGAAUUACAUUACUUUUUAGUGAGAUAAGUUUAUAACAAUAUUUAGGAUUUGAAAGUAAAUUUAAAAUAGGAUGUUAAUUUGAAUUAAUCUCUAAAAUAUGUAC
rnacentral:rRNA from 1 species